rnacentral:rRNA from 1 species
GCUUAAAAUCCAGCCUAUUUUCUCCCAUGAACCCUUAAACUAAUAAACCUAAAUAAAACAUUUCCCUGUUCUAGUAAAGGCGAUAGAAAAAACUCCAAGAGCUUUAACUUUAGUACCGCAAGGGAACGAUGAAAUAUUAAUGAAAUAACUUAAGCAUUAAAAAGCAAAGAUUAACUCUUGUACC